GGCUGGUCCGAAAGUAGUAAGUUAUCUCAAUGGAUUUUUUACAGUCAGUUACAGAUCAAACCCCAUGUACUACUCUUCCCCCUCCCCCUACUUCUCACUACUGCACUUGAUUAUUCUUUA
rnacentral:Y_RNA from 1 species